GAAGCCGAUGAACGAGACCAAGGCCACUGUCAACUACUGCCAGGAGAGGACCCACAUGAUGAGCACCAUGGACCAGAGCUUCACAGACCAGAGCCCCCUGCAGGAGGAGGAGUGGCUGGGCCUGUCCUUCAUAGACACUCACGGCUAUAGCUCCCAGGGAGACCAGCGCAGCGGUGGGGUCACUGAGGCCAGCAGCCUCCUGAGGGACUCCCUGAAGCAUCCCUGUGGCCAGAAGGGCUCCCCGCACCACAUGGGGCAGCUGCACCCUGCAGUGCGUGUGGCAGACCUUCUGCAGCACAUCAACCAGAUGAAGACGGCCGAGGGUUACGGCUUCAAGCAGGAGUACGAG
rnacentral:lncRNA from 1 species